rnacentral:lncRNA from 1 species
UGCCAAAAUUUGACUUGCAUAUUUAUUCAGUAAAUUAAAUUAGUAGAGAUGAUUUUUCGAACAACAUCAUUUAUGCCUAUCUAGGAAUGAAGUUAGCAGAAACUUUAUAAAGUAAUACAGCGUAAUUUAACUUCAAUGAUAUGCAACAAGGGAAUUCAAUAUCUGUGAACAUAAAUGUACAAGUAGAGGAGCCAAUAGUAGAUAACAGAUUCUCAUUCAGAGAUACUACUAUAUUGUGGAUGACCGAUUUCUCCAGAAGCAGGUCUCCUUGUCAACAAUAGAAAGUGUAUCAUCUUGCAGGCAACAAAAAACAUAAAUAUUUAAAAAAUCAUAGCCAAAUUAAAGGCUGGUGACUUCGAGAUGAAAAUUACUCACCAUAAAUUUUAAUUACGAAAAAGCACUGAAAUGGACAAGCUUUUAAUAUCUUAACCAGUUCAAGCGAAAGGAGAUGGGCAAGGGGGAAUAUUAACUUCAAGAAUUCCCUCAAGCAUCUGGAUGACUUUUCUCAUGGUUGGCCUCAGAGAUGAAUCUUCUUGAAUACACCAAAUGCCAACCAUCACAAACCUUUCUAGUCUUUUCUUGUCAUUUAAAGCUUCAGCAUCAUUUUUAACCAAAGUAUCUAGCGUUCCAUCCUGAAAGCAGUCCCAAACCCAAUCUGUAAGAAUUGGAUUUUCUCCCUCUCCAAAUUCCAAAUCUAUCAGGCUUUGUCUGCAUGUAAUGAUCUCUAGUAGUAAAACACCAAAGCUAUAAACAUCAACUUUCGCGGUGACUUGAGUGUUUCUAAACCAUUCGGGAGCAACAUAGCCUUUUGUACCUCUGAUAUUAGUGAGGGUACGACUCUGAUUUAUCAUCAGAAGUUUUGCUAAUCCGAAGUCUGAAAUCCGAGCAUUAAAAUAUUCAUCAAGAAGUAUAUUCUGAGGCUUGAUGUCACAGUGGAUGAUUUGAGUGCUGCAUUCUUCGUGUAAAUACGCAAGUCCCCUGGCUAUUCCCAGUGCAAUUUGAAUCCUUUGAUUCCAAUUCGGUUUCAGAUCACCAAAAAGGAAACUUGCUAGAGUUCCAUUGUUCAUGUACUCAUACACCAACAUCCGAUGAGGACCCUCCUUACAAAAUCCAAGCAGGCGGACCAAAUUCUUAUGAUGAGUUUGACCUAUGACAUUCACUUCUGUUUUGAAUUCUUUCUCAGCAUCUUCAGCCACUCUAUCCAGCUUUUUCACUGCAAUGGUUCUAUUGGACCCCGUUGGCAUUACCCCUUUGUAGACAAUUCCAAAAGCACCUCUCCCCAGUUCUUCCUUGAACCCAUCUGUAGCUUGUGCGAGCUCUUUAUAAGUAAAACACCCCAAAUUCACUCCUGCUGUAUCAUGAACUGGAUUGAAAUUUGUGAUUUUUUUGUUGUAAAUAAGGAAAAACCCCAGACAAGCUGCACCUACAAACAUGAAGUUGACGAACAGAGAGCUGCCCAAGAGCACUGAACCCACAAGUAUCAAUGUUCCCUUAUCCUCUUUCUUUUUUUCUGGAGUUGGAAAAUUCGGUCCUUGUACAGGAAUAUUACCUUUCCUGAACUUGAAAAAAGCCUUUGAAGUAAUUUGUGUGUCAAGUCUCCCAUUAGACAGGGGCAGCUUCUUCUUCCAGCAGCUAUUAUUUCUGUAAAUGGAAACAGCACAUAAACAAUCAUUCAGGCAGGCAUUUUUACAGUUACCUUCUGUGAAAGGGGCUAGCUGCUCAAAAUCCGAAUUUGGCCAAUCAACAUCAGAAACCUCUAACAUUUCAUAUAUAUCUUCUGCAGAACCCUUCUGAUUAUCUACACCACAGAUUGGAAUAAAGUUGGGAUUGCAAUUACUAAACGGGUUGUUUGGUUCAGAGAAAAAAUAACCUCGAGGGCAUUCGCAAAUUGGUCUUCCAUUGUCGAGUCUGCAGACACCGUUAUACCCACAAGCCCCGCUGCCUUUUUCUCCGUUCAUCAUACAUAUGUUUCCUGGCCAAAAUUCAGCUACAGUCCACCCUGGAUCGCCGCUGAAACUCUUUGGAUAAUAAUACGUUCUGAAAACUCCAUCAAAAUCAAGAGUUGCCCUAUAAUAAUGGUCCGAAGUUGUCGGAAUUGAGCGCUUCACCGUUAGGGCUUUUCGUUGUCCGUUUCUCCUCAAUACAUAAAGCGAACCCCUUUCAUUGAAGACCAGUUGAUAACCAGAAUUCGAUGCAUUUGCAGGAUCAGAAGUUUCACUGUUGUAAUACUCAUCAUCAAAAUCCAAAUUUGUCGGUAUACUUCGAGUAUUAAGCACUAAAUUCCCGCCGCUAAGCAUGCGAAGAUAAAAUCUGCCUCGACUGAAAUUCGUUUCAGCCUUUCGCGAAACAAGCGUACCAUUAAUCGCAAUUAUUUGCGUAGGCAGCACUGUAUCACUUGGAUAUUUGAAACUUUCCCAUAUCGAAACAGAAUCACUGCGCACUAAAACAAAAUUUCCAGUAUCAUUCAAAAAACCAUGGGAAACACCAUCAACAAUAAUAUCAUCAGUACUCCAUAUAAGGCGGCCUUGAGGAUCACGAAGCACCAGCCCACUUUGUGCAUCAAUCUCCACCCUCGAAUCCCGUGGAAUAGGAUUUGUAACCUCUGGAUACCAUACUACGGUUUUCUCUGGUAUUUUAUUAUACCAUAUAGCAAGUUGAAACAUAUCAUUGUUUGGAAGUUUCUGAAACCCAAAUGCGAAAUCUUCAGAACGUGAAAGCCAUGGAGUGGACUCCUCUGUUGCAAACAGAGGGUUACCCACCGUUAUGUUACCAUUGUUUUGAGAAAAGGUGCAGAGUGGGAGGAUAAAUAUUAUCAAUAAGAUGAAGAUGAAGUUAAAGGGAGCAUAAGCCAUUGUCCUUUGUUAGAGCAAAUUUGGCACAUAAAAACAUCAAAAAAAAAUUCCUUGUAUAUAAGAUAGGAGAUUACUGUUUUGGUUCAAGACUUUCGAGUGAACUCAUACUUUUC